AUUGAACGCUGGCGGCAGGCCUAACACAUGCAAGUCGAGCGGAUGAGGGAAGCUUGCUUCCCGAUUUAGCGGCGGACGGGUGAGUAAUGCCUAGGAAUCUGCCUAUUAGUGGGGGAUAACGUUCCGAAAGGAACGCUAAUACCGCAUACGUCCUACGGGAGAAAGUGGGGGAUCUUCGGACCUCACGCUAAUAGAUGAGCCUAGGUCGGAUUAGCUAGUUGGUGAGGUAACGGCUCACCAAGGCGACGAUCCGUAGCUGGUCUGAGAGGGUGAUCAGGCACACUGGAACGGGGACACGGUCCAGACUCCUACGGGAGGCAGCAGUGGGGAAUAUUGGACAAUGGGCGAAAGCCUGAUCCAGCCAUGCCGCGUGUGUGAAGAAGGUCUUCGGAUUGUAAAGCACUUUAAGUUGGGAGGAAGAGUUGUAAGCUAAUAUCUUGCAGCUUUGACGUUACCAACAGAAUAAGCACCGGCUAACUCUGUGCCAGCCGCCGCCGUAACAC
rnacentral:rRNA from 1 species